ensembl:lncRNA
UCCCACUGCCACUGUCUGAGACAUCAGAGGCACUCGGUAGAAGUUGGUGAAGAGAAAGAAAAGGCAGAGGAGAGACAGGAAAGCAGGACCAACACCGCAGACACAGAUUCUGAGGUGGCUGGAGGAGAGGCAGGGCAGAGAAACUUCCUGGAUGCUGGAAAGGGGUUCACUGUGAUACCUGCUGCUGGAUUUCAAAUGUCAAAGGUGACGCUUUGCUGACCUUGACCUCUGACUGCCCUUUAGCUUUCCCAACCUCAACACAGGGCACUUAGAAACUGAGAUGUCAAGAAAUUAUGCUUCUUUGAACCAUGGGAAUGUUAUUUACAUGGACGUUCAUUACUGCAUUUUUUACAUGGGAAUGUAAAUAAUUGAAGAGAUUGUUAAAGGCUAAAUCAUGCACAUUCAAUAACUUUGUAAAGUAUUAAUGAUAACUGAAACACAAAUUUUGAUGUUCCCCAAAAAUGCUAACAUAUAAAACAAUACUGGCCAAUUAAAGAUAGAAAACAAUCCUAAUGAAGCUCCCCAACAGACACAUUAAAACUUCUCUGUACAUAAAACAUUUGGGAUUUCAAAGGAAAACCCAGAUUCAUUCCAUUCUUAAUACGGCGUUUUUUUUUUAAAAAAAAAAUCUUAGGUAUUACAAUAUUUCAUUUAAAAUUUACAAAAUUCCAUUACAUUCAUUAUUUCAUUUGAUCCUCAAAACAAUCUCCUGAGUUAGGCAGAACAGGUAUUACUAACAACUAACUCCAUUUUACAGGUAAGGGAACUGAAGUUCAGAAAGUACUUGGGCUUAAUAAAAGCUUUAAUAGGGCCACAUAUCGAAACCAAAUCCUCUGCUCAAAAGAACUAGAAUAAGCUAUCUUUUACAUAUUAUUCAUACUUAUAUCCUGUCAAUAUCCAAAAAUGUUUUGAAGUAGCCUGCAAUAAUAGACACCUAUCCAAUAAAAAUAUUAAAAUGAAAAACAGGGGGAAAAAAACCAGCAGGUGACAUGGGAGACAGACAAAGGUAGAUAGCAAAGACUGAGACUUAUAAUCUAAGAAAACUUCAUCUCUGACCUUCCAGUUCCAGGGAGAUAAUACUAAAGGAAACAAGAUGGUUUAUAGACUCAUCAACUGACAAAAGAGAGGUUGCAUCAGUUCUUAACUCUGAAACACUCCUAGCAGCCACAGCAAAUCUCUAGGACAACAUACCAAUGGCAUCAAAGCAAGAGUAUACUUCAGGGAUAGAGUGAAUUAAGUUCCCUGUUUGGGACCCAGGCCAGGGCUAGAGAAAAGAACUCUGAAAUGUAGAGCUCAAGAAUACAUCCUCUGUCGGCCAGGCGCAGUGGCUCACACCUGUAAUCCCCAGCACUCUGGAAGGCCGAGGCGGGCAGAUCACGAAGUCAGAAGUUGGAGACCAUCCUGCCUAGCACAGUGAAAUCCUGUUUCUACUAAAAAUACAAAAAAUUAGCCGGGCAUGGUGGCAGGCUGCGGUAGGAGAAUGGAGUGAACCCAGGUGGCGGAGCUUACAGUGAGCCGAGAUCCUGCCACUGCACUCCAGCCUGGGCAACAGAGCAAAACUCUGUCUCCAAAAAAAAAAAAAA